rnacentral:rRNA from 1 species
AUUGAACGCUGGCGGCAGGCCUAACACAUGCAAGUCGAGCGGAUGAAGGGAGCUUGCUCCUGGAUUCAGCGGCGGACGGGUGAGUAAUGCCUAGGAAUCUGCCUGGUAGUGGGGGAUAACGUCCGGAAACGGGCGCUAAUACCGCAUACGUCCUGAGGGGGAAAGUGGGGGAUCUUCGGACCCCACGCUAUCAGAUGAGCCUAGGUCGGAUUAGCUAGUUGGUGGGGUAAAGGCCUACCAAGGCGACGAUCCGUAACUGGUCUGAGAGGAUGAUCAGUCACACUGGAACUGAGACACGGCCAGACUCCUACGGGAGGCAGCAGUGGGGAAUAUUGGACAAUGGGCGAAAGCCUGAUCCAGCCAUGCCGCGUGUGUGAAGAAGGUCUUCGGAUUGUAAAGCACUUUAAGUUGGGAGGAAGGGCAGUAAGUUAAUACCUUGCUGUUUUGACGUUACCAACAGAAUAAGCACCGGCUAACUUCGUG